CACGAGGGUCUCACUGUCUUAAGGAAAUUUCCAGUGAAAUUGAAUUUGUAGUGAAGAUGCUACAUCCAAAUUGUUAGACAAGAAGUCCCCAUGGAACUUUACUGGAGACUUAUGUGGCUUAAAUUAAUUUAUUUCUUACAAAUAAAUAGUUUUAAAAUGUGGUGUUAACCCCUCGGAUUAACUAGGGUUAUAAAAGCUCACUCUUUUAUUUAAAGAAAGCCAACUCAAACGUUUAUGUCUUUGGGAUUUUGAUAAGUGGGACAGUUUGGUUGGGGCGACCGCCUUUAAAAAAGUAACGAAGGCGGGCUUAAGAUACAUAUUUAGUGAUGUCUGACUGCCAAGGGGAGAUCCUGAGCAGACACUUACUUUUUAGGUGGGUUUAAGUGACCCGUUGAUUUAGGGUGAAAUAGUUAACGAUAAACA
rnacentral:rRNA from 1 species